AAAACGCUAAAUUUAUAUACAAACACCAACUCUACACACAAUAGUACACCUGCAUUUAAAAGCCAGCACUACAAACAAUCACACAUCCCUGCAUUAAAAUGCAAACACUACACACAAGUACACCACUGCAUUCCAAUGGUAACAGUACAUACAAAUACACUCCUACAUGCACAAAUACACUCUAUACAAUAACAUGCUGACAUUCAUUUGCACAAACACGGCUCAAAAAUACAACCCUGCAAGGAUGGUAGAUCCCCAGCUGGCAUAGCAUCG